GGAAUAUUGGACAAUGGGCGCAAGCCUGAUCCAGCCAUGCCGCGUGAGUGAUGAAGGCCUUAGGGUUGUAAAGCUCUUUCACCGGGGAAGAUAAUGACGGUACCCGGAGAAGAAGCCCCGGCUAACUUCGUGCCAGCAGCCGCGGUAAUACGAAGGGGGCUAGCGUUGUUCGGAAUUACUGGGCGUAAAGCGCACGUAGGCGGAUCUUUAAGUCAGGGGUGAAAUGCCAAGGCUCAACCUUGGAACUGCCUUUGAUACUGGGGAUCUUGAGUCCGGGAGAGGUGAGUGGAACUGCGAGUGUAGAGGUGAAAUUCGUAGAUAUUCGCAAGAACACCAGUGGCGAAGGCGGCUCACUGGCCCGGUACUGACGCUGAGGCGCGAAAGCGUGGGGAGCAAACAG
rnacentral:rRNA from 1 species